UACGAAGGGGGCUAGCGUUGCUCGGAAUCACUGGGCGUAAAGCGCACGUAGGCGGAUUGUUAAGUCAGGGGUGAAAUCCUGGAGCUCAACUCCAGAACUGCCUUUGAUACUGGCGAUCUUGAGUCCGGGAGAGGUGAGUGGAACUGCGAGUGUAGAGGUGAAAUUCGUAGAUAUUCGCAAGAACACCAGUGGCGAAGGCGGCU
rnacentral:rRNA from 1 species